AAAAGAUGGUGUUUUCAAAUAAAAAAUUUGAUGAAAAGAAAAGAAAAGGACCACAAAUUUGAAACAUCUCUAGUACAAAAUAUGAAAGGAAAAGUGAUAUGAAAGGGAAAAGGUAAGGAAUGACAAAGAGGUACCUAACUCUAAGGUUUAAGCCGAUUAUCCAAAAAUUAUCCUACCCUGACAUAUGCCACGUUACAACCAAAAAAGUCCUCAAAUAUGUGUGUUUAAAUAUGAUAUGACUGAUUU
rnacentral:lncRNA from 1 species